GUCCCUAAUCCAAUAGGACUCAUGUCCUUUAAAGAAGAGGAAGAGACAUUAGGGAUGUGAGUGCAUAAAGAAAAGGCCACGUGAGGACACAGCAAGAAAGUGGUCAUCUGCAAGCGCAAAAGACAGGCCUCAGAAGAACCCAACCCUAUUGACACUAUGAUCUUGGACAUCCAGCCUCCAGAACUGAGCCAAAAUAAUGCAGCUUCACAUCUCCUUAAUGGACAGAAGACUACACUGUUUUUGCUGCACCCAGAGAUAAAAUUAUUGGUUUUGGAGUACCUUCACUGAUGCCAGGGGUGUCAUCUUUACCUUCCAUCACAUAAUAUAUAUAAAGAGAAUUUUUCUUAGCUUUAAAUGAGUUGAUAAGAGGACAAGAAGAAAGUCAAGGACUCCAUUUCCAGGAUUAAAAGCGGUUUUUUCCUUUGUCUUCCAAAUCCUAGCAGUAGAAGCAUUUGAGUUCUGCAGAAAUUACUGAAGUGGUUCAAGUGUGGGCAGUCAGGACACUCAGCCCACCAUACUCAACCCCAACUCAACCUCAACUCUCAGUACGGCAGAGAGACGGAGAACUCAGAGCUAUAACUUUCAGGAAUUCUCAAAACCUCAGACAAAAUGCAUCUUUGUUUUACCACCUGUUAAAGUAUAUCCUCAUCUGCCUCAGUGCACAUAAGUAUACAACACUGCAGAUUGUGUUUAACUUCAUUUGCAAUUAAUUUAACGCAUUUUGUAUCCAACAUUUCUACUAGGAAAUAGUAUUAGUCUAUCCCCAAACUAAAAUUCACUGCAAAAAUGUAAUUCACUCAAGAAAAAUAAUGAUAAUUCUUCAAACACCUUGAGAUGUCAUUCAACAAUCAUACCCAAUGGGUAAAAUUUAGAGUUCAACAUUUAGCUUGCAUUUCUUUCUAACCAAACAUCUCAAGUUCAAAAAAUAAAGCAGAUUGUUUUGUGCAUUUGUUAUCACUACCACAUCAAUGGUCACCUACACUUCCUGAGCCCCAAAUAGAACUCUCAGAGAAGCAUUGUGUAUUUGUCAAUAUCCUGGAGUUUCAAAACUCCCAAGUGUUGCCACCAUUUGACCUGAAAUUUCCUCUCUUCUCAGAUUCCUGCCUCUAAACACAAAACAAACAAACCUUUACUUAACUUAGCUCAUGUGUGAAUUUUUAGGGUCAUUUGUUUCAUAUCCAGAAAGACUUCAAGUCUCUUUGCUAAAUUUUGAUUUACCUAAGGCCAGUAGCCUGAAUUCAACUUUAGCAGUCCCAGGGCUCAGUAGAUUUGCCCUGUAGAUUCUGUAAUUGGAUAUUUAUGUUCCAUGUAUUUCUUCUUUCAGAGCAUAGCAGAAGUAUAGGGAUAACACCUUAGCUGAAUGUUGGCCCUAAAAUAGCUGCUCAUUUGUAGCACUCAGACGAAGCUGAAAUUAUUCACAUUCAGCCGACAUUUCCGUUAGGUGAGAUGCUGCCUGCUAAUUCACAUUUGCCUGGGAUUGCUCCUCAGAGUUCAGAUUUAAUUUUGAUAACAUCAACUCUAUCAUUUAAUAAAUAAUAAGCAGUAAAAAAUUAAGCCUAUUGUUAUUGGGCAUUUUGAAUGAAAGAAAAGCAGUAUGGCAUAUUAGGUUUAAGGGUUCCUCAAUAUCUUAAUCUAUAUUGCCUUCGGAAAGAAGCAAUCCUUAGAUAAAAAAAUAAAAUACUUUAAAAUUUCUCUCCAUUUCAUUAGUGCAUGAGACUGAGACAGGUAUUGUCACUCUUGCCACUGACUCAGUGACAUGUCAGAAACAAUGAAGUCUUAAAUAUAUUGCUCAAAAUUUCAACUGCCUAUAUAUAGCAUAAAAUUAAUUGCAUUUAGAAAAAAAAGUUCUGUUCUCUUAGCAAUUUUCAGGUAGAUCCUAAAUGUUCUCGACACAAAAAGAU
rnacentral:lncRNA from 10 species